AUUUAAUUGUAUCUUAAUGCAAUCUUGUGUUCUAUCUUCUUUUAUAAGGACUAUUUCAUCUCUCUUUUAAAUUGUUAUGAUUUCAUUUCCUAAACUUUUAAUUGUUUUUGUUGCAUUAUUUUGACAUUAAGUUCUUUCCCUGUCUCUAGACUAGAUGCCGAGUUUUGCAAGAGUGUGUCCACCGCCCAGGGUCUUUGGGAAGUUUAAUUUAUCACCUCUCAUGAAAACUAGAAGGUUCAAUAAACAGCCCUCCUAGGUUUCUACUUCCCUCCCUGCGGUACCUGCAUCCUCCCUGCCCAGUCCAAUGAUUUCACUCUUCAGAAAUGCUGAGUCCUGUGCCAGGGCUGCCAUGGUCACCAUGGAAAGAAGUCUCAGGAUGGGUCAAACAAGGACUAAAAGGUGGCCUUUGGGUCUGAGCCUUCUUCUUUCACAGAGCGCAGGAGGGAUGGUGGUGGUAGUGCAGUGGCGUGGUUAACAAUGCAAUGGAGUAAAAUAGAUUCGAGUUAAACUCUG